rnacentral:rRNA from 1 species
CCUACGGGUGGCAGCAGUGGGGAAUAUUGGACAAUGGGGGAAACCCUGAUGCAGCGACGCCGCGUGAGUGAAGAAGGAAUUCGUUAUGUAAAGCUCUAUCAGCAGGGGAGAAAAUGACGGUACGUGAGUAAGAAGCACCGGCUAACGACGGACCAGCAGCCGCGGUAAUACGGAGGGGGCCAGCGUUAUCCGGAUGUACUGGGUGUAAAGGGAGCGUAGGCGGCAGUGCAAGUCUGGAGUGAAAGGCGGGGGCUCAACCCCCGGAGGGUUGUUGAAACUGUACGGCUGGAGUGCAGGAGAGGUAAGUGGAAUUCCUAGUGUAGCGGUGAAAUGCGUAGAUAUUAGGAGGAACACCAGUGGCGAAGGCGGCUUACUGGACUGUAACUGACGUUGAGGCUCGAAAGCGUGGGGAGCGAACAGGAUUAGAUACCCUAGUAGUC